ACGGAAGGCAGCAGUGAGGAAUAUUGGUCAAUGGGCGAGAGCCUGAACCAGCCAUGUCGCGUGCAGGAUUACGGCCCUACGGGUCUUAAACUGCUUUUGAUUGGGGAUAAAGUGGGGGACGCGUCCCCUAUUGCAGGUACCAAUCGAAUAAGGAUCGGCUAACUCCGUGCCAGCAGCCGCGGUAAUACGGGGAUCCGAGCGUUAUCCGGAUUUAUUGGGUUUAAAGGGUGCGCAGGCGGCACGUUAAGUCAGUGGUGAAAUGUCAGGGCUCAACCUUGGCACUGCCAUUGAAACUGGCGAGCUAGAGUGCGUUUGGGGUGCAUGGAAUGUGUGGUGUAGCGGUGAAAUGCAUAGAUAUCGCACAGAACGCCGAUCGCGAAGGCAGUGCACCAAGCCGCAACUGACGCUCAGGCACGAAAGCGCGGGGAUCGAACAGGAUUAGAUACCCUGGUA
rnacentral:rRNA from 1 species